rnacentral:lncRNA from 1 species
GAGAGUAAGUCACCUCCCUCCUCUUCUCCUCGCAGAGCUGUAUGCCCAUUACCUGAGGGGACGGAAUCCAAGCAUGGGUCAACAAUAAGGCAACAGAAAAAAUAUGCAGUCAACAACAGUAAGAAAAAAUAUGAUAGAGAGCGGACAUCCUCAGACUGUGUAAGUUGCAGGCUCCACGAAACCUGCGUCUGUCCUGCAGCUGGACAGUCCUGAAGAACUGAUGUGCACGUUCUGAAUCUCAGUUUCCUCUUGACAGGCUGGGGAUCGCACAGCUUCCUGGCUGUUAGGUCAAGAGGUGUAAAUGAGACAAUGAGGAUGAAGUAUUGAGCACAGAAUCUGGGACGUGGUAAACCCUCCUUGUUAGUAUCAUCCAUUCAUUUAUUCAGUGGACACGUAUUAAGCACCUGAAUGUUCAGACACUGCAGAUUCAGCAGGGAACAAGAUGGAAAAAGUCUCUGCUCUUAAGAAGCUUAUG